rnacentral:rRNA from 1 species
AACACACCCAGUAAAGGGCAUGCGGUUCCCCAAGAGGAAAGUCUCAGCCGACCAGUACACGCGGUGAGGCGGACCAGCCAGCCAAGACCAAGGUUCAACUACGAGCUUUUUAACUGCAACAACUUUAAUAUACGCUAUUGGAGCUGGAGUUACCGCGGCUGCUGGCACCAGACUUGCCCUCCAAUUGUUCCUCGUCAAUGUAUUUACAUUGUGCUCAUUCCAAUUACAAGACCCAAAAGAGUCCUGUAUCGGUAUUUCUUGUCACUACCUCCCCAUGUCGGGAUUGGGUAAUUUGCGCGCCUGCUGCCUUCCUUGGAUGUGGUAGCCAUUUCUCAGGCUCCCUCUCCGGAGUCGAACCCUAAUUCCCCGUUACCCGUCAAAAGCAUGUGAGGACAAUACCCUCACAUCGAAACUUGAUAGGGCAGGUAUUAAA